ensembl:lncRNA
GUUUGAGUUGGUUUGUCAUGGUCUUCAGUAAUCACGGGUCUCCCUUCACUGAGUCCUAUCCUGUUACAGACACGUCCCUAUGAAGCCCUUGGAGGAGACCCAGUAGUUUGUGAACGACACGGCCUACAGGAUAGUGCGUCUGCAGGAGGACAACAUGGUGCUGAAGCCCUGUGUCCUGAUGGCCUCUCCUGCAGAACCUGGCCCUGUCCUAUGGUGUCUUCCUAGACUGGCCUGGACUUUGAGGUGCCGUGUUACCUGCUGGUGAAGACUGGUGCUGUUCAGAUGCUGCAGCAGGACAUAGUUAUGACAGACAGAGGUCAGCCCUUACUUUCCUUCUUCAAUGGCUUGCUGGAACCAUUCCUUUAACGCUACCAGCGCUCAAGAGACUUGCAGUGACCUGAUGGUUGAGCACUUUUGUGGACAUUGAUAGAGGUGGUAUGUCAGUACCUCUGUGAGGAGGCCAGUGAGGGCCUUACAGAGAAGCAGUACAUCCCUGCGGUCCGCAGCUUCGCUGUGUAACUCAUCCAAGCAGGCUGCUUGGCAGAGUCAGGGUUCAGACCUGAGCCAACUCCCCUUGUUUAUCGUGAGGAGCCAAGGAGGAGACCAGAACCAGAGCCGGUGUUGGAGAGCUGAUCAAGUCACUCUCAAAGUGAACAAGAUGGCUGUGAACUCUUUAGAAGAUACACUGGGAGAAAAUGUCCCACUCAGAAAGCUGUCCAUGCUCGACUGUAAUUCAUUCACUUCGUGGGCCAAUGAAAACUCUGGAGAGUAAACUCUGCCUUCAUUACCAUAAUGCCACAUUUUCCAGGAGAGCACAGCUUAGCCAACUACAAAGGCUGUUUGUCAUCAUUUUUUAAAAGGGACUUCACAGGGCUACCAUCUGGGACACUUUUCAUACACACAAGCUCUUCGAAUUUUGUAUAUGACAACGCUUGAAUAAUUUCUGGAGGUUGCCAACCAAAUUGCCAACCAAAAUGUUUGCCUGCAAUACAGAUGGUUAUAUCGGGCCGCUAAUACAGGACUAGUAAAGGCCCAGUGCACUACUUUUUUU